UACGUAGGUGGCAAGCGUUGUCCGGAAUUAUUGGGCGUAAAGCGCGCGCAGGCGGUUAUGUUAUUCUGAUGUUAAAGCCCGGGGCUCAUCCUCGGUUCGCAUUGGAAAUUGUGUAACUUGAGUGCAGAAGAGGAAAGUGGUAUUCCACGUGUAGCGGUGAAAUGCGGAGAGAUGUGGAGGAACACCAGUGGCGCAGGCGGCUUUCUGGUCUGUAACUGACGCUGGGGCGCGAAAGCGUGGGGAGCAAACAGG
rnacentral:rRNA from 1 species